GGGGGGGGGUAAAGUUGCAAUGUAGGGCAACUUUUUCAUUUGUAUUAAAGGGGUCAUGUUAAUUAUAAUUUCCAAUUUCCUCCCUUUUCAGAAUGUGAUUACAGUAUUGUGUAUAAAUGCAAGUAAUGAAUGGGAGAGUGCCUGGAUUAUGUUAAUGCAGUAAAAUAUUGAGAUUUUUUUGUGUUAUGUAUAACCUGAUUCAGGUUUAUAUAUUAAUAGACAAUAUUUGAAGAUGUGGUACACAUAGAAUUUUUUUUUUUUUUGUUGUUUUAAAAAUUGAUAUAUGUAAACUUUUUUUUUUCUUUGUAUAGUUAACUUUGACUUUCACAAAACACUUCUGAUAAUUAAGAUUUGUAUUAGUGCUAAUUGAUUUGGAAAACUUACAAUGAAUGAAUUGUACACGAUGUAUCUGCAGUUUUAACAAUGAGCAUAGUAUGAUCUCAUUUAGUUAGCAUAGAACUAUCUUAUUUGUUGAAGUGAAUGAGAAAUUGGACAGAUAGUUGUUCCUUUCUCUCUCUCUCUCUCUUAAUUAUAUGCCGGUGUAUAUCUAUAUUUUGUUGGUUGGUGUGUUAAUGGGAGAAGGAUUCUAGCAGCAUAAGAAUUGAUAUACAUUGUGUAGCAAAAAAAACCCAAAAAAACAUAACAUGUUUUCCUACCUGUAUAAAUAAUAUUUGAGAAAUGGAGAAGCUGUUAAGGUUUCUAAUGAGAAAAGUUUUCCGAAGAAAAAAAAAUAGAUAUUGAAUGGUGGGAAGUUUUUUUUUCUGUUCAUCUAUGUUAAACAUUUUUGUUUUCUCCUCAUCUUUGUUAUUAUUUUUAGUACAUGUAUGAAUUUAAAAAUAAUAAAAAAACCACCUAUAAAUUUUGACAAUACAGGUUCUGUGUUAAAAUCUGCAAAACAAAGAGGAAAAAAUAAUACUUGUUAUAACAUAUAAUUAUGCAUUUUUUGUGUAACUGUAAAAUGAAAUUUGUUUUGUGAUUGACAAAACAGGAAUGCGACUGUGAACUCCAUUGUAUUUAUCCUACUUAUAUUUAUCAAGAAAUGGGAAGGAUCAACUGUGAUUUGUUUUAAUACUAUAUCUCUCUACCUAUAGUCUGAUCAGGAACAAAACAAAAAAGAGAAAGGAGUGUGUGUGUAUGGGGAUCAGUCAGAGAGUAGCAUUGUCUGACUGCUAUGUGUAACUGUUGUCCACAAAAAAAAAUCAAUCUUCAAUUUUUUUUCCUUUCUUAAAAAAAUAAUAAAAUAAACAAAAAAUAACCUUC
rnacentral:sRNA from 1 species